rnacentral:rRNA from 1 species
UUGCCCUAGUAACGGCGAGUGAAGCGGCAACAGCUCAAAUUUGAAAUCUGGCGUCUUUGGCGUCCGAGUUGUAAUUUGCAGAGGGCGCUUUGGCAUUGGCAGCGGUCCAAGUUCCUUGGAACAGGACGUCACAGAGGGUGAGAAUCCCGUACGUGGUCGCUAGCCUCUACCGUGUAAAGCCCCUUCGACGAGUCGAGUUGUUUGGGAAUGCAGCUCUAAAUGGGAGGUAAAUUUCUUCUAAAGCUAAAUACUGGCCAGAGACCGAUAGCGCACAAGUAGAGUGAUCGAAAGAUGAAAAGCACUUUGGAAAGAGAGUUAAAAAGCACGUGAAAUUGUUGAAAGGGAAGCGCUUGCAGCCAGACUUGCCUGUAGUUGCUCAUCCGGGUUUUUACCCGGUGCACUCUUCUACGGGCAGGCCAGCAUCAGUUUGGGCGGUUGGAUAAAGGUCUCUGUCAUGUACCUCCUCUCGGGGAGAACUUAUAGGGGAGACGACAUGCAACCAGCCCGGACUGAGGUCCGCGCAUCUGCUAGGAUGCUGGCGUAAUGGCUGUAAGCGGCCCGUCUUGAAACACGGACCAAGGAGUCUAACAUCUAUGCGAGUGUUUGGGUGUCAAGCCCGAGCGCGUAAUGAAAGUGAACGGAGGUGGGAACCUUUCGGGGUGCACCAUCGACCGAUCCUGAUGUCUUCGGAUGGAUUUGAGUAAGAGCAUAGCUGUUGGGACCCGAAAGAUGGUGAACUAUGCUUGAAUAGGGUGAAGCCAGAGGAAACUCUGGUGGAGGCUCGCAGCGGUUCUGACGUGCAAAUCGAUCGUCAAAUUUGGGCAUAGGGGCGAAAGACUAAUCG